CAGGGAUAAGGAGCCGGUAUCAGGCACAAUUAUUAGCCCAAGACACCUAGSUACGCCACACCCACAACGGUCUACAGCRGUGAUUAAUAUUGAACAUGAGCGCCAGCUUGAUUCAGUUAAAGUAAAAAGGGCCGGCAAAUAUGGUGCCAGCCGCCGCGGUUACACCACAUGGCCCAAGUCGACUUCAUCACGGCGUAAAGCGUGAUUAAAGUGCUUUCCCCCACUGUAGUCAAACUGUUAAUAAGCUGUUUAAUGCUUUUAACCAGGAAGCCCAAAAACGAAAGUUACUACACACAAAACUACUUGAACUCACUAUAGUUAGGACCCAAACUAGGAUUAGAUACCCUACUAUGCCUAACCGCAAAUUCUUUACUUACAUAAUAACCGCCAGAGAACUACGAGCAAAGCUUAAAACUCAAAGGAUUUGACGGCACCCCAUAUCCCCCUAGAGGAGCCUGUCCUUUAAAUCGAUAAUCCCCGUUUAACCUCACCAUUUCUAGCUAUCAGUCUGUAUACCUCCGUCGCCWRCUUACCGCAUGAGCGCUAUAAAGUAGGCUUAACGAACAUAAAAACUUCAAUACGUCAGGUCAAGGUGCAACUUAUGAAAUGGCAAGAGAUGGGCUACACUCUCUAACUUAGAAUAAMCGAAAACUGAUUAUGAAACCCAGCUAGAAGGUGGAUUUAGAAGUAAAAAG
rnacentral:rRNA from 1 species